rnacentral:lncRNA from 1 species
UCACUGUGCCUUAGAAGGCAGGAUAUAUAGCAGAUGCUCCUUGGACAGAAUUCCUUCCCUUAUUCAGCGCAUGCUUAUGAAUGCCUCCCCUGAGCCAGGCAAGCUUGAGAUGCUAGGAAUUCAGCUGUGGAAGUUCAGCUCUCAAGAAGCUCACAUCUAGGGUGCGGAGUUAGAGAAAUCAGACCGGCACAUGAUACAGAAGGGACUAGGUGCUAUGGAGAGACAUCAAGUAGCGUGGAGACCACUGAGACCCAGCCACUGGAGACCAUUAGCCUAGGGAGGUCAUUGGUGUCCUUGCCAAGCCCUGUUUUGGUUCUGGGUCCAGGAGACAGAGUGUAGUCAGAGGAGAGGAAUCACAGACAGCCCAGUGCAGACAACAGGCAACUCUUUCAAGGAGUCAUCUUAUAAAGACUGAAGCUGAGAGGCUUUUUUCCCAGUCAUCUUGACCACAAGAUCAGUUCUCUCCGUGAACAUAAAGACAAAAUCGCUGUGACACCAACAGACAGAUUUUUUAACAAGUGGAAUCCAUGUCUCAUGUAAACAAUGUGCUACUGCCUGCCAUUGAGUUCUCUUCCCUCGUUUUCCUUUUUGAAGACUUAACCCCUUUCCCAAAGGGACAUGUGCUCAGGUUUCUUGACUCCACAGCAAUCCCUUCUGUUGUGUAAGGCAAACUGAUCACCUUUCACAACGAGACAAGAAGUGAUUUAAAUCAGAUGGUGACCCAAUGACAAUGUCUGUGCUGUGUCCUAUGGAGAAAACCAAAGCUGAAAUCCAGUAACAGGUGAUAGGAAGAUGUGGAGAUAGAAACUGACCUGAAUUCUGAAAAACAACAAGAGAAAAGGAAGUCUGAGAACAAGCUGGUGUUCUUCCAAAACCUGUUCAUUGUGUGAAUUCCUAGAAGAUAGCGUGACACCGAGAAACAGGCUGGAGUGACACACCCAAACAAUUAUGCUACCUGGAUCUGCCAAGGCAGGAGGACAAACUCAGCAGCCUGGAGAAUGGAGGACACAGUCCAGAGUUGGUGAGCCAAGUUUUCUUCUGUUUGUUUUGCUGUUGCUGUUUUUGUUCUUGUUGACCUAUUGAGUUCUAUGAUGAGACCAAACGUUUAAUAAUUGUCUUCUAUUCUAAAACUUGUCUCUCAGCAACAACAGCAGCAAUUACUUUUGACCACUCACUAUCGGAAAACACUGCUUUAGGCUGUGGAAAUGCAGUAGUAGAAAAGCCAGGCAUAAUCCUUAUCCCCAUGGAGGCACUAUCUCCAUCCAAGGGCAGAGGACCUGCAAGCCCUGAGGUCUCCAGCUGAGGUUCCUCUCUGAAGGACAGUUGCACUUCAGGUCAUGCUGCAGUAUGAGAGAAGGCAGCGUGACAUCUUGAGUUUCUAAUGCUCACACCUGUCUCAGUGAAGCAUUUUUACAGAGUAAUCACCACCCCCCUCACACCCCCAACAAUGUCAUCAAGUCAUAAAUCUCCUUGGUUUGAAAUAUUGGAUUAAAAUAUGAUUAAACAAUAUGUCUCAAUGGAA